rnacentral:rRNA from 1 species
CGAACGCUGGCGGCGGGCUUAACACAUGCAAGUCGAACGAGAACUCCGAGCUUGCUUGGAGGGAAAGUGGCGCACGGGUGAGUAACGCGUAGGCAAUCUGCCCCCAACUGAGGAAUAACCCAUCGAAAGGUGGGCUAAUACCACAUAACGACAGACUACCGCAUGGUGGACUGUUCAAAGUUCAGGCGGUUGGGGAUGAGCCUGCGUCGGAUUAGCUAGUUGGCGGGGUAAUGGCCCACCAAGGCGACGAUCCGUAGCGGGUCUGAGAGGAUGAUCCGCCACACUGGCACUGAGACACGGGCCAGACUCCUACGGGAGGCAGCAGUGAGGAAUAUUGCGCAAUGGAGGAAACUCUGACGCAGCCACGCCGCGUGCAGGAAGACACCCCUCAGGGGCGUAAACUGCUUUUGUACGAGAAGAACACCUCCUUCUGGGAGGUCUGACGGUAUCGUACGAAUAAGGACCGGCUAACUCC